CGGAGGAUCCAAGCGUUAUCCGGAAUCAUUGGGUUUAAAGGGUCCGUAGGCGGGUUUAUAAGUCAGUGGUGAAAGCCCAUCGCUCAACGAUGGAACGGCCAUUGAUACUGUAGAUCUUGAAUUAUUAGGAAGUAACUAGAAUAUAUAGUGUAGCGGUGAAAUGCUUAGAGAUUACAUGGAAUACCAAUUGCGAAGGCAGGUUACUACUAAUGGAUUGACGCUGAUGGACGAAAGCGUGGGUAGCGAACAGGAUUAGAUACCCUGGUAGUCCACGCCGUAAACGAUGGAUACUAGCUGUUCGGAGCAAUCUGAGUGGCUAAGCGAAAGUGAUAAGUAUCCCACCUGGGGAGUACGUUCGCAAGAAUG
rnacentral:rRNA from 1 species